GACGAACGCUGGCGGCGUGCCUAAUACAUGCAAGUCGAGCGAAGUUUUUCUGGUGCUUGCACUAGAAAAACUUAGCGGCGAACGGGUGAGUAACACGUAAAGAACCUGCCUCAUAGACUGGGACAACUAUUGGAAACGAUAGCUAAUACCGGAUAACAGUAUUUCUCGCAUGAGAGAUAUUUAAAAGUUGGUUAUGCUAACACUAUGAGAUGGCUUUGCGGUGCAUUAGCUAGUUGGUGGGGUAAAGGCCCACCAAGGCGACGAUGCAUAGCCGACCUGAGAGGGUGAUCGGCCACACUGGGACUGAGACACGGCCCAGACUCCUACGGGAGGCAGCAGUAGGGAAUCUUCCGCAAUGGGCGAAAGCCUGACGGAGCGACGCCGCGUGAGUGAAGAAGGAUUUCGGUUCGUAAAGCUCUGUUGUUAGGGAAGAAUGGAUAUGUAGUAACUAUACAUGUAAGAGACGGUACCUAACCAGAAAGCCACGGCUAACUACGUG
rnacentral:rRNA from 1 species